AGAGGUGAUGUUUCAUUUUUGUAAUUAUUUGCAUGUUUUUUUGGUUUCAUUUUGGAUGUGAUUUCAAAAAGCCUGACUUUUAAGACGACCCUGAACGCACCAUAUCUCCUGGGCGAACAUGGGAACUUUCACCACCAAGCGAGAUGGCGACAUUUCAAAAACGAAAGAAAUCUCCGUUUCUCCGCCAAAACAUUCCUAUUGGUUCGACUUGUGGCUCUUCGUUGUCUUCGACGUCGUCUUUUUCUUGGUCAUGUAUUUCAUAGUGCCAUAAAACGGUGGGCCCUGAAUGGAGAAUGCAGACCUGGAAGCAUCCUGAUGGAGAUGUUAACCUCGCUUUGACUGAAUUUAACACAACUUGGGACGUUAGUGUGCAACAUUCCAAAUGUUCAAAAAUGGAAAUGUGCAUUUUGCACAAUUAUUAUGACCUGAACCACAAAACUCCUCACAUUUGUCGAUGAUUACGACACCCUAUCAGGAUGAUAUUUACUAUAAUACAUAUACACUGUGGAUGAUAUUUACUAUAACGUUUACUAUUAGAAUGUUAUUGAACAUGCCAAAUGAUGACUAUUACCCAGUUUUUGUGAACGCCGCCUUUAUUUGUGUCCCCAUCAACAACAGAACGCCAUUAAAUGUGAAGUCAAGCAAGGCGUUUCGAUGGAAUUUGCACACGGUGAAACUCGCUUUACUCACCUUGAGAAAAUAAAGUUAUUGUAAUCUA